UACGGGGGGGCAAGCGUUGUUCGGAAUUACUGGGCGUAAAGGGCUCGUAGGCGGCCAACUAAGUCAGACGUGAAAUCCCUCGGCUUAACCGGGGAACUGCGUCUGAUACUGGAUGGCUUGAGGUUGGGAGAGGGAUGCGGAAUUCCAGGUGUAGCGGUGAAAUGCGUAGAUAUCUGGAGGAACACCGGUGGCGAAGGCGGCAUCCUGGACCAAUACUGACGCUGAGGUGAGAAAAGCCGGGG
rnacentral:rRNA from 1 species